AAAAAAGGAAGAAAAAAGCUAAAAAAAAAAAACACCCAAACAAACCCCAAAACAAAAGCAAACCCAGAAAAACACCUAAGAAAAUAGCCGAAGCGUUUGCAGGGCUGUUGGCAGAACUGCUGCCUGCCCCAAGGAGCACCCACGGCAGGAGGCAGUGCUGGUAAUUCCGUCGCUGCAGCCGGGGACUUGGAUGGGGUUGGUGAGAAUUCAGACAUGGGAGAGAAACAUCAGAAGGUCUGCAGAGAAGUGCAGUCGCACUCUCACACCUCUUCGCUUGCAGCCUCGUAGCACUGGCAC
ensembl:lncRNA